AUUGAACGCUGGCGGAAUGCUUUACACAUGCAAGUCGAACGGCAGCACGGACUUCGGUCUGGUGGCGAGUGGCGAACGGGUGAGUAAUGUAUCGGAACGUGCCAGUCGUGGGGGAUAACGUAGUGAAAAUUACGCUAAUACCGCAUACGAUCUAUGGAUGAAAGCGGGGGGUCGCAAGACCUCGCGCGAUUGGAGCGGCCGAUAUCAGAUUAGGUAGUUGGUGGGGUAAAGGCCCACCAAGCCAACGAUCUGUAGCUGGUCUGAGAGGACGACCAGCCACAGUGGAACUGAGACACGGUCCAGACUCCUACGGGAGGCAGCAGUGGGGAAUUUUGGACAAUGGGCGAAAGCCUGAUCCAGCCAUUCCGCGUGCAGGAUGAAGGCCCUCGGGUUGUAAACUGCUUUUGUACAGAACGAAAAGGUUUCUACUAAUACUAGGAGCUCAUGACGGUACUGUAAGAAUAAGCACCGGCUAACUACGUGCCAGCCGCCGCUGUAA
rnacentral:rRNA from 1 species